AGUGAACGCUGGCGGUAGGCCUAACACAUGCAAGUCGAACGGCAGCACAGUAAGAGCUUGCUCUUACGGGUGGUGAGUGGCGGACGGGUGAGGAAUACAUCGGAAUCUACUUUUUCGUGGGGGAUAACGUAGGGAAACUUACGCUAAUACCGCAUACGACCUACGGGUGAAAGCAGGGGAUCUUCGGACCUUGCGCGAUUGAAUGAGCCGAUGUCGGAUUAGCUAGUUGGCGGGGUAAAGGCCCACCAAGGCGACGAUCCGUAGCUGGUCUGGGAGGAUGAUCAGCCACACUGGAACUGAGACACGGUCCAGACUCCUACGGGAGGCAGCAGUGGGGAAUAUUGGACAAUGGGCGCAAGCCUGAUCCAGCCAUACCGCGUGGGUGAAGAAGGCCUUCGGGUUGUAAAGCCCUUUUGUUGGGAAAGAAAAGCAGCAGGUUAAUACCCCGCUGUUCUGACGGUACCCAAAGAAUAAGCACCGGCUAACUUCGUG
rnacentral:rRNA from 1 species